rnacentral:rRNA from 1 species
GCGUAGGAAUCUACCCAGUAGCGGGGGAUAGCCCGGGGAAACCCGGAUUAAUACCGCAUACGCCCUAAGGGGGGAAAGGGGCGAGCUUGCUGCUCUUACUAUUGGAUGAGCCUGCGUAAGAUUAGCUUGUUGGUAGGGUAAUGGCCUACCAAGGCAACGAUCUUUAGCUGGUCUGAGAGGACGAUCAGCCACAUUGGGACUGAGACACGGCCCAGACAUCUACGGAUGGCAGCAGUUAAGAAUAUUGGACAAUGGGGGCAACCCUGAUCCAGGUAUACCGCGUGUGUGAAGAAGGCCCUA